GACGAACGCUGGCGGCGUGCUUAACACAUGCAAGUCGAACGGAAAGGCCCUGCUUGCAGGGUGCUCGAGUGGCGAACGGGUGAGUAACACGUGGGUGAUCUGCCCCUUACUUUGGGAUAAGCCUGGGAAACUGGGUCUAAUACUGGAUAGGACCAUGCUGUAGGUGGUGUGGUGGAAAGAUUAGUUUCGGUAAGGGAUGAGCUCGCGGCCUAUCAGCUUGUUGGUGGGGUAAUGGCCUACCAAAGCGUCGACGGGUAGCCGGCCUGAGAGGGUGGACGGCCACAUUGGGACUGAGAUACGGCCCAGACUCCUACGGGAGGCAGCAGAGGGGAAUAUUGCACAAUGGGCGCAAGCCUGAUGCAGCGACGCCGCGUGGGGGAUGACGGCCUUCGGGUUGUAAACUCCUUUCAGCCAUGACGAAGCCCUUGUGGUGACGGUAGUGGUAGAAGAAGCACCGGCUAACUACGUG
rnacentral:rRNA from 1 species